UGGGGAAUUUUGGACAAUGGGGGAAACCCUAAUCCAGCCAUCCCGCGUGUGCGAUGAAGGCCUUCGGGUUGUAAAGCACUUUUGGCAGGAAAGAAACGUCGCGGGUUAAUACCCCGCGAAACUGACGGUACCUGCAGAAUAAGCACCGGCUAACUACGUGCCAGCAGCCGCGGUAAUACGUAGGGUGCAAGCGUUAAUCGGAAUUACUGGGCGUAAAGCGUGCGCAGGCGGUUCGGAAAGAAAGAUGUGAAAUCCCAGAGCUUAACUUUGGAACUGCAUUUUUAACUACCGGGCUAGAGUGUGUCAGAGGGAGGUGGAAUUCCGCGUGUAGCAGUGAAAUGCGUAGAUAUGCGGAGGAACACCGAUGGCGAAGGCAGCCUCCUGGGAUAACACUGACGCUCAUGCACGAAAGCGUGGGGAGCAAACAGGAUUAGAUACCCUGGUAGUCCACGCCCUAAACGAUGUCAACUAGCUGUUGGGGGCCUUCGGGCCUUGGUAGCGCAGCUAACGCGUGAAGUUGACCGUCUGGGGAGUACGGUCGCAAGAUUAAAACUCAAAUGAA
rnacentral:rRNA from 1 species